GGAGGUAUAGCUUAGUGGUAGAGCACUUGCCUAGCAUGCAUAUAGCCCUGGAUUCUAUCCCUAGCACCACCA
rnacentral:tRNA from 1 species